rnacentral:rRNA from 1 species
UAAAGAGUUCUAUAACUCCCAAACCCAUGUGAACAUACCUAACGUUGCCUCGGCAGGUCGCACCUACCUUGUAGCACCCUACCCUGUAGGGCCUACCCGGGAGAUGCGGGUAAGCCUGCCGGCGGCCCACCAAACUCUGUUUGAUAUUGAAUUCUGAACAUAUAACUAAAUAAGUUAAAACUUUCAACAACGGAUCUCUUGGUUCUGGCAUCGAUGAAGAACGCAGCGAAAUGCGAUAAGUAAUGUGAAUUGCAGAAUUCAGUGAAUCAUCGAAUCUUUGAACGCAUAUUGCGCCCAUUAGUAUUCUAGUGGGCAGGACCGUUCGAGCGUCAUUUCGACCCUUAAGCCUUAGUUGCUUAGUGUUGGGAGCCUACGGCAACGUAGCUCCUCAAAGUUAGUGGCGGAGUUGGUUCACACUCUAGACGUAGUAAUUUUUUAUCUCGCCUAUUAGUUGGACUGAUCCCCUGCCGUAAAACCCCCAACUUAUCAAGGUUGACCUCGAAUCGGUUCAGACAAACUCGCUAAAUUGAAGCAUCUUAGUCAG